rnacentral:rRNA from 1 species
GAUGAACGCUGGCGGCGUGCUUAAUACAUGCAAGUCGAGCGAACAGACGAGGAGCUUGCUCCUCUGACGUUAGCGGCGGACGGGUGAGUAACACGUGGAUACCCUUCCUAUAAGACUGGGAUAACUUCGGGAAACCGGAGCUAAUACCGGAUAAUAUAUUGAACCGCAUGGUUCAAUAGUGAAAGACGGCUUUUCUGUCACUUAUAGAUGGAUCUCCGCCGCAUUAGCUAGUUGGUAAGGUAACGGGUUACCACGGCAACGAUGCGUAGCCGACCUGAGAGAGUGAUCGGCCACACGGGAGCUGAGACGCCGACCAGGCUCCUACGAGAGGCAGCAGAAUGGAAUGUGCCGCAGUGGGCGAAAGCCUGACGCAGCAACGCCGCGUGAGUGAUGAAAGUCUUCGGAUCGUAAAACUCGGUUAUUAGGGAAGAACAGAUUUGUAAGUAACUAUGCACGGCGUGACGGUACCGAAUCAGGAAGCCACGGCUAACUACGUG